AUGGCAUCGGCAUGUCAUGUUGCGCAGCAACCACAGCUGGCUUCACCGCAAUGCGCAACGGAAAAAGGGCACAAUCCUGACUCACCCCUGACUAAAGCAUCAUGCCACCCUCUGGUCCCCCUGCAACUCUCCUCUCUCACACCUUGCACACACACACACACCUCACGCGCAUCAUCAUCCUUUUCGACCCCUCUUUUUAUUUUUCUACACACUAGUAGUACUAUUUUGCUCCAGUUUUUUUUGCCUAGUAAUUAUAAUUGUUAUCGUGUAGUACUAGAUGGAUGGGUAGAUGGAGCACACUUAACCCCGGGAAUAAACAAGGGGCUGCUAGCCCUAGCUAGGCUAGACCAGGAAGGAAGGAGCAGCCCCAGCCUGAAUUGUCUAGCAAUUGUGGGGCGCUUUCCGGCUGCUUUUCUCGGACGGUGGUGGCGCUAG
rnacentral:rRNA from 1 species